UAACUGAUAACAUGACCGAUCUUCUUCUGUUUUACAUUUAAUUCUUUAUUUUUCGUCUAAGCAUUAUCUAUCAUUCGAUGUAACUGUCUCUCUCUGCCUGAAGCAGUCCUGCAAACAAACGAGAUGAUGUAUCACAUUGAUAAGGUUUUGAACCUGAUAGAUGACAGAAUACUGGCAGAGUGCAAAGAACAAUCACGCGAAUUCAAACAAGAGGCAUUGGAAGCCUUAGAUAUAUUCGAAGCUUCUGAGGCAAAAUCUGCUUUGAAGAACAUUUUGCUGGCAGUCUCAAAAUUUUGAUCCCAAAUAAUCAUUAAGAAGAAAGAAAAAAAUAAAAUAAUGAUAAUAAUGAUAAGAA